rnacentral:rRNA from 1 species
CAGUCGUACCGGCGGAUAAUCAGCCUUUCGGGUGCGAUUCUGUGGGGCGUGAGGAGCUUAACCGCCUUCAUGUUUUGCAUAUUCGUGCACAUUUGGUGUACUUGUCCGUGUGGUGGGUUAACAUCAAUUUCGGUCGUCAUAAAAUGAUUAGAGGAAUGUAGCUUUGGUCUCGUAUCGAAGUGUUAUAGACUCUGGUAGAUGUGACGAUUGGGAUUGAGGAUUGCAACGGAUACCCUUCGGGGCUACUCGUCUGAUCUCUGAAGGUUGCUCCGGUGCCGAAAGCGUGCUUACGGUCAUCGAAAGUGAUUUUCAAAAGGUUAGAACGGGUUAAAUUCGUUAAGGAUGUUGACGUAAUGGCUUUAAACGA